rnacentral:rRNA from 1 species
CCCUUAGACGUUCUGGGCCGCACGCGCGCUACACUGACCAGUGCAACAAGCAUCCGUCCUUGGCCGACAGGCCCGGGCAAUCUUUGAACGCUGGUCGUGAUGGGGAUAGACUUUUGCAAUUUUUGGUCUUCAACGAGGAAUUCCUAGUAAACGCAAGUCAUCAACUUGUAUUGAUUACGUCCCUACCCUUUGUACACACCGCCCGUCGCACCUACCGAUUGAAUGGUCCGGUGAAGCCUCCGGAUUGGCGCGCACCUCGGUGCCGCCGAGAAGUUGGCUAAACCUUACCAUUUAGAGGAAGGUGAAGUCGUAACA